rnacentral:rRNA from 1 species
UGUAAACUCCUUUCAGUACAGAAGAAGCGAUGAGUGACGGUAUGUGCAGAAGAAGCGCCGGCUAACUACGUGCCAGCAGCCGCGGUAAUACGUAGGGCGCGAGCGUUGUCCGGAAUUAUUGGGCGUAAAGAGCUCGUAGGCGGUUUGUUGCGCCUGCUGUGAAAGUCCGGGGCUUAACUUCGGGGUUGCAGUGGGUACGGGCAGACUAGAGUGUGGUAGGGGUAAUUGGAAUUCCUGGUGUAGCGGUGGAAUGCGCAGAUAUCAGGAGGAACACCGAUGGCGAAGGCAGGUUACUGGGCCACCACUGACGCUGAGGAGCGAAAGCGUGGGUAGCGAACAGGAUUAGAUACCCUGGUAGUCCACGCCGUAAACGUUGGGCACUAGGUGUGGGGCCUUUUCCACGGGUUCUGCGCCGUAGCUAACGCAUUAAGUGCCCCGCCUGGGGAGUACGGCCGCAAGGCUAAAACUCAAAGGAAUUGACGGGGGCCCGCACAAGCGGCGGAGCAUGCGGAUUAAUUCGAUGCAACGCGAAGAACCUUACCAAGGCUUGACAUACACUGCGAUGUGCCAGAGAUGGUGNAGCCUUCGGGGUGGUGUACAGGUGGUGCAUGGUUGUCGUCAGCUCGUGUCGUGAGAUGUUGGGUUAAGUCCCGCAACGAGCGCAACCCUUGUCCUGUGUUGCCAGCACUUUGGGUGGGGACUCACGGGAGACUGCCGGGGUUAACUCGGAGGAAGGUGGGGAUGACGUCAAAUCAUCAUGCCCCUUAUGUCUUGGGCUUCACGCAUGCUACAAUGGCCGGUACAGAGGGUUGCGAGCCUGCAAGGGUGAGCUAAUCCCUUAAAGCUGGUCUCAGUUCGGAUUGGGGUCUGCAACUCGACCCCAUGAAGUCGGAGUCGCUAGUAAUCGCAGAUCAGCAACGCUGCGGUGAAUACGUUCUCGGGCCUUGUACACACCGCCCGUCACGUCACGAAAGUUGGUAACACCCGAAGCCCNGUGGCCUAACCUUUUUUGGGGGAGCGUNNAAGGG